AGUUCCUUUUCAGUGAAUGGCGAGGGCAGAGGAUUCACUCUGAGCUCCCAAUGCCUCUUCUUGAUGACAAGCUGUUCUCUGGACUCGACCACAGACAGGCAGCGUCGAGUGUGGCCUUGGGGCACCAGGUCUCCACCUGUGAGGAGCACCUCUGGGACGUCCUUGUUCAUGGGAGGUACACACAGGCCAGUCUGAAUCAAGAAGACAGAGAAUGAGUGGCAACAAGAAUGACUCUGCUGAUUUGCUUCAACAUUACCGCCCUCCCACCCACCACCACCAGCCUUCAUCACCCAG